rnacentral:rRNA from 1 species
GACGAACCGUACGAACGUUAUUCGGAAUCACUGGGCUUAAAGGGUGCGUAGGCGGUGCGGAAAGUUGGGUGUGAAAUCCCUCGGCUCAACCGAGGAAUGGCGCCCAAAACUGCCGUGCUCGAGGGAGACAGAGGUGAGUGGAACUUCGGGUGGAGCGGUGAAAUGCGUUGAUAUCCGAAGGAACACCAGUAGCGAAAGCGACUCACUGGGUCUCUACUGACGCUGAGGCACGAAAGCUAGGGGAGCAAACGGG